CUCAGGCUACUGCUCUCCUCAGAUGCUCUGGGAACAAACCUGGGCUUUGCACCCAGAGCAGCCCCCAGGGCUGGCAGGGAGCCCUUUGGGGGUGGUAGGGAGCUGGGCCAUCCUUGGCCUAGGUGGGGUUUAGGGAUAAGGGAUGGGAAGAAGAUCUGGGGCUGUGUUAAAGCUGAGGGGCUGCAGCCUGGGAACCUCCUCCCAGGUGCUGCAAGGACACCUCCAAGGAGAUGUUUGGUCUCUUCUAGGACAGACAUUCCCCUCCCUGCGGAGUCCCAAGGUCCAUGUGGUGCUCCCAGCACAGACUUCUCAGCCAUGGAUUUUCCAGCAGAGCCAGAGGCAAAGAGCCACCUCUGCCCUGCUGUCAGGCUCCAGAGGUUUGUCCCUGCUCCUGCAGGGAUGCUGGGCAUGGCUGUGGCAGCACUCGAGGCUCUGGCAGCGUGACAGAGCUGUGACUCAGCUCAGUCCAGAGGGACCUUUCUGCAGAAGCAGCUGAAGGAGGAAGGAAGCAGCAAUACCUGUUACUAAAAGCAUUUGUGGAACAGCA